rnacentral:rRNA from 1 species
GAUGAACGCUAGCGGCAGGCUUAAUACAUGCAAGUCGUGGGGCAGCAUGAGUAGCAAUACUUGAUGGCGACCGGCAAACGGGUUCGGAACACGUACACAACCUUCCGAUAAGUGGGGAAUAGCCCAGAGAAAUUUGGAUUAAUACCCCGUAACAUAUAGAGGAGGCAUCUUCUUUAUAUUAUAGCUUCGGCGCUUAUUGAUGGGUGUGCGUCUGAGUAGGUAGUUGGCGGGGUAACGGCGCACCAAGCCUACGAUCAGUAGCUGAUGUGAGAGCAUGAUCAGCCACACGGGCACUGAGACACGGGCCCGACUCCUACGGGAGGCAGCAGUAAGGAAUAUUGGACAAUGGGCGAAAGCCUGAUCCAGCCAUGCCGCGUGAAGGAUUAAGGUCCUCUGGAUUGUAAACUUCUUUUAUUUGGGACGAAAAAAGGGAAUUCUUUCCCACUUGACGGUACCAAGUGAAUAAGCACCGGCUAACUCCGUGCCAGCAGCCGCCGUAACAC